GGGGUCGUGGGGUAGCUUGGCCUAUCCUUCUGGCUUAAGUUUAACUGCCAAAUGGGGCGUAGGCGAGCGCAAAAAAGCCAGAGACCUGGGUUCAAAUCCCGGCGACCCCA
rnacentral:tRNA from 1 species